rnacentral:rRNA from 1 species
GGCUUCCCCCUCGACCACGAGUUCCCGGACGACUAUGGGGUAGAGGAAGAGGAUGAGUGCGACAUCGAAGUGGAGCCUUUGUUCGAGGACGAGCUCGCCAACCAAACCGCCGGUCCUAAGCAGAAGCGCAAGAGCAAGUGCACGAAGGCGUACACAGCUGCCGAGGACAAGCUUCUUUGCGAGUGUUGGUGAGACAUUGGACAAGACCCAAAGACGGGCGCCGAGCAAAAGCAUUCAACCUUUUUGACUCGUGUGCACCGCAAGUUUCAUGAGCGCAAGAAGUUUCCACUCUACCAAUUUGUGAGCACGCGCGGGUGGGUCUCCAUUUCCAAGCGGUGGAGGGUGAUCCAACAAGAGUGCAACAAGUUUUGCGCCACCAUUGAGAGCGUCAAGGCCCGCCCCGUGAGCGGCAUCGGCGUGUAA